rnacentral:rRNA from 1 species
CCUACGGGAGGCAGCAGUGGGGAAUAUUGCACAAUGGGGGAAACCCUGAAGCAGCGACGCCGCGUGAGUGAAGAAGGAAUUCGGGAUGUAAAGCUCUAUCAGCAGGGAAGAAAAUGACGGUACCUGAGUAAGAAGGCACGGCGAACGACGGGCCAGCCGCCGCGGGAAUACGGAGGGGGCAAGCGUUAUCCGGAGUUACUGGGGGGAAAGGGGGCGUAGACGGCAGUGCAAGUCUGGCGGGAAAGGCGGGGGCUCAACCCCCGGACUGCCCUUGAAACUGUCCGGCUGGAGGGCAGGAGGGUUAAGUGGCAUUCCUAGUGUAGCGGUGCCAUGCGUAGCUAUUAGGCGGAACUCCAGUGGCGAAGGCGGCUUACUGGACUGUACCUGCCGUUGCGGCUCGAAAGCGUGGGGAGCAAACAGGAUUAGAUCCCCGAGUAGUC